rnacentral:rRNA from 1 species
UACGUAGGCAGCAAGCGUUGUUCGGAGUUACUGGGCGUAAAGGGUGCGUAGGCGGUCCUAUAAGUAUGGUGUGAAAUCUCCCGGCUUAACUGGGAGGGUGCGCUAUAGACUGUGGGACUAGAGUGUGGGAGAGGAAAGUGGAAUUCCUGGUGUAGCGGUGAAAUGCGUAGAUAUCAGGAGGAACACCGGUGGUGUGAAACGCUUUCGUGGACCAUAACUGACGCUGGAGGCACGAAAGCGUGGGUAGCAAACAGG